rnacentral:misc_RNA from 1 species
GAUGAAGAACGUAGCGAAAUGCGAAAAGUAAUGUGAAUUGCAGAAUUCAGUGAAUCAUCGAAUCUUUGAACGCACAUUGCGCCCGCCAGUAUUCUGGCGGGCAUGCCUGUUCGAGCGUCAUUACAACCCUCAGGCCCCCGGGCCUGGCGUUGGGGAUCGGCGGAGCCCCCCGUGGGCACACGCCGUCCCCCAAAUGCAGUGGCGGUCCCGCCGCAGCUUCCAUCGCGUAGUAGCUAACACCUCGCGACUGGAGAGCGGCGCGGCCACGCCGUAAAACACCCAACUCUUCUGAAGUUGACCUCGAAUCAGGUAGGAAUACCCGCUGAACUUAAGCAUAUCAAUAAGCGGAGGA